rnacentral:rRNA from 1 species
CUGAACCAGCCAAGUAGCGUGAAGGAUGACUGCCCUAUGGGUUGUAAACUUCUUUUAUACGGGAAUAAAGUGAGGCACGUGUGCCUUUUUGUAUGUACCGUAUGAAUAAGGAUCAGCUAACUCCGUGCCAGCAGCCGCGGUAAUACGGAGGAUCCGAGCGUUAUCCGGAUUUAUUGGGUUUAAAGGGAGCGUAGGCGGACGCUUAAGUCAGUUGUGAAAGUUUGCGG